rnacentral:misc_RNA from 1 species
UCCGGUUUAACACCGGCGGUCUCGUUAGAGUGCUCAGCCUAACUGUUAGCAACUAACGACAAGGGUUGCGCUCGUUGCGGGACUUAACCCAACAUCUCACGACGCGAGCUGACGACAGCCAUGCAGCACCUGUUCAGCGGCCCCGAAGGGCGUUUAUAUCUCUACAAACUUCCACUGUAUGUCAAGUCUGGGUAAGGUUCUUCGCGUUGCAUCGAAUUAAACCACAUGCUCCACUGCUUGUGCGGGUCCCCGUCAAUUCUUUUGAGUUUCACCCUUGCGAGCGUACUCCCCAGGCGGUAUACUUAUCACGUUAGCUACGGCACAGCCAGGGUUGAUUCCGGCUACACCAAGUAUACAUAGUUUACGGCAAGGACUAC